GACGAACGCUGGCGGCGUGCUUAACACAUGCAAGUCGAACGGAAAGGCCCUGCUUUUGUGGGGUGCUCGAGUGGCGAACGGGUGAGUAACACGUGAGUAACCUGCCCUUGACUUUGGGAUAACUUCAGGAAACUGGGGCUAAUACCGGAUAGGAGCUCCUGCUGCAUGGUGGGGGUUGGAAAGUUUCGGCGGUUGGGGAUGGACUCGCGGCUUAUCAGCUUGUUGGUGGGGUAGUGGCUUACCAAGGCUUUGACGGGUAGCCGGCCUGAGAGGGUGACCGGCCACAGUGGGACUAAGAUACGGCCCAGACUCCUACGGGAGGCAGCAGGGGGGAAUAUUGCACAAUGGGCGGAAGCCUGAUGCAGCAACGCCGCGUGCGGGAUGACGGCCUUCGGGUUGUAAACCGCUUUCGCCUGUGACGAAGCGUGAGUGACGGUAAUGGGGAAAGAAGCACCGGCUAACUACGU
rnacentral:rRNA from 1 species